UGGAAGGACUGAUGCUGAAGCUGAAGCUCCAAUACUUUAGCCACCUGAUGGGAAGAACUGACUUAUUGGAAAAGACCCUGAUGCUGGGAAAGAUUGAAGGCGCAAGGAGAAGGGGAUGACAGAGGAUGAGAUGGUUGGAUGGCAUCACUGACUUGAUGGACAUAAGUUUGAGUAAACUCCGGGAGAUGGUGAAGGACAGGGAAGCCUGGCGUGCUGCAGUCCAUGGGGUUGCAAAGAAUCGGACACGACUGAGCCAUUGAACAACAGGACCAUUCUGCACAGAAGGCAGACUUCCCAGGACUAAAGGGACAGACCUCGCGAAGAGAAACCAAGCACGUGUCCUGGGGCUUGCUGUGUGUCUUAUGGGCUUCCCUGGUGGCUCAACUGGUAAAGAAUCUAUCUGCCCACAAUGGCAGGCAGGAGACCUGGGUUCAAUCCCUGGGUCGGGAAGAUCCCCUGGAGGAGGAAAUGACAACCCACUGCAGGAUUCUCGCCUGGAGAAUCCCAUGAACAGAGGAGCCUGGCGGGCCACAGUCCUUGGGGUCGCAGAGAGUCGGACACGACUAAGCGACUGAACACUUAUGUUCUGUGGGUGUGGAUCACAGCAGAAACUCAUCUCGAAGGAGGCCAGAGUGAACCGUUCAGGGGUGCUAUGGAGAUCCAGGAUUUCAGGCAUCCUCCACGUUACGGCUCCAUCAUCCUCAGUGUGUGACUUUGUACUCAUGGUCCAAUGUAGCUACAUGGACUCCAGCCCUCAUGCCUGCAUUCCAAUCAACAGGAAGAGAAGAGAGAACAGCUCACACUUACUCUUCAGAAAGUCUCUUGAGAGUUCCUUGGACAGCAAGGAGAUCAGACCAGUCGAUCCUAAAGGAGAUCAGUCCUGAAUAUUCACUGAAAGGACUGAUGCUGAAGCUGAAGCUCCAAUACUUUGGCCACCUGAUGGGAAGAGAUGACUCAGUGACCCUGAUGCUGGGAAAGAUUGAGGGUGGGAGGAGAAGGGGAUGACAGAGGAUGAGAUGGCUGGGUGGCAUCACCGACUCAAUGGACAUGAGUUUGAGCAAUCCCAGGAGAUGGUGAAGGACAGGGAAGCCUGGAGUGCUGCAGUCCAUGGGGUUGCAAAGAGCCAGACAUGACUGAGUGACUGACACUUUCACUUUCACUCAUAACGUAGAGUUCACCACGUUAACCAGAGUGGACAAGUCAGGGCCAUUUAGUGCAUUAGCAAUUUUUUGCAAACAGCACCUCUGUCUCGUUUCAGAACCUUCUCAUGCCCUCAGAAGGAGACUCGGACCCCAUGAGCUCUCAUGCCACCUCCCCCAGCCCCCUCACCAUGAGCCCAAUUUCUGUCUGUGCAUUGGCCUGUUCUUGACAUUUCCUAUCGAUGUCAUCACACACUGCAUGUGUUCUUCUGUGUCUGCUUCUUACACUCUUUCUGCUGUCAGCUUUUCAAAUCACAGGAAACCAACACCCCAUUCUCAGAAGAUUCUAGAAGGUUCUAGGUUUGCAAAAUGGAGAGGUGGUCCCCAAUCUGGAUGGGGGUAUUCCACGUCCGAUCCAGGGAGCAAGGCAUCUCAUCACCUUUGAAAAAUAAGUGUUUGUGCUUUCCCCAUGAUAAUGCUUUUUUUUUUUUUUCCCAGUUAAAUGAUCCCCAUCCCAUGAUAUCAUUUGCUAAGUUCCUUCAGUCAUGUCUGACUCUUUGCGACCCCAUGGACUGUAGCCCACCAGGCACCUCUGUCCAUGGGAUUGUCCAGGCAAGAAUACUGGAGUGGGCUGCCAUUUCCUGCUCCAGGAGAUCCUCCAGACUCAGGGAUUGAACCCAUGCCUCCUACAUCUCCUGCACUGCAGGCGGAUUCUUUACUGCUAAGCCAUUGGGGAAGUCCUGUUAAAUGGAAACAAUUUCGAAUCACUUCUGACAGUAUUCUGUGAAAGUAACCACUUGUCUUUUUUUAAAUCAUUGCACUUAUUUUUCUGAUUGAUUCAUUUCCAAAUGUCGCUGGACCGGCUUGAACCUCCUUGAAU
ensembl:lncRNA